UGAGAAGACAGCUGUCCCUGAAAUUAAAAAAGCAGGAUCUCCAUGAACCUUAGUUGUAAGAUCUCUUAGUUGUAAGAGUGAGACUAAUGAAAAAGAUAAAAAAGAAGCUGCUGUGUCCAAAGAACUCAAAAAGCCAGCAAAAGCUCCUGCAGCCAAUCCAGCUAUCAAAAAAGCAGCAGCACCAGAACCACACAAGAAAGAAAAAGCGAUGGAGUCUGCCAAAACAGCAAAGAGAGAAGUAAAAGUACAUGGAUCUGAGCAAAAUCCGAAGUUAAAAGGAUCUGAAAAGAAGGAAGUAAAAGCAACAAAGGCAACAGAACAAGAUAAACCAAAGACGAAACAUGGAAAUCCUGAAAAAGAGAAGGAAUUGAAAUCUCCAGCAGCUACAAAAGAUAAAGCACAUGCUAAAGAAAAGGAAGAAAAGAAUCC